rnacentral:pre_miRNA from 1 species
UUACUACUCCCUCCGUCCGGAAAAGCUUGUCCCAAGCUUGUUUCUCAAAUGGAUGUAUCUAGCACUAACUUGGUGCUAGAUACAUCCAUUUGAGGGACAAGUUUUUUCGGACGGAGGGAGUACAAG